rnacentral:rRNA from 1 species
AGCUCCAAUAGCGUAUAUUAAAGUUGUUGCAGUUAAAAAGCUCGUAGUUGGAUUUCUAGCGGACGCGACUGGUCUGCUCCGCGAGGAGUUGGUACUGAGCCGUCGUCUGUUAUCCUUGAGCAGAGCUGCCCUGGCAUUAAGUUGUCGGGGUAGGGAUGCUCAUCGUUUACUGUGAAAAAUUAGAGUGUUCAAAGCAAGCUUAGGCUCUGAAUAUAUUAGCAUGGAAUAAUAAGAUAGGACCUUGGUGGUCUAUUUUGUUGGUUUGCACGCCGAGGUAAUGAUUAAUAGGGAUAGUUGGGGGUAUUCGUAUUCAAUUGUCAGAGGUGAAAUUCUUGGAUUUAUGGAAGACGAACUACUGCGAAAGCAUUUACCAAGGAUGUUUUCA